GCAGUGAUAAGUAGAUAUCUCCCUGGAGUCUUACUGAUGGAUGUUGAGUUGAUGGAGGGGUUGAAACAGCAGGAAGCGAUGCAGAGCAGUGUGAUGCAUUGAAAGCAGUGCACUCAGUCUUGUAGACGUCCAGUAUAGUUUUAGUUUUUAAUUUUACUUGUUAACUUUAAUAACCAUGGGUACUCCGGCUUCCUCCCAAAGGUCCAAAGGGUUAGGUCAGUUGGUGAUUCCAAACUGCCCAUAGGUGUGAAUGUGGUGCAAACUGUUGUCUGUCUCUCUGUGUUAGCCCUGCAUCCAGCUGGCAACUUCUCCAGGGUGUACCCCACCUCCUGCCCUAUGGUAGCUGGGAUAGGCUCCAGCCCGCACCCCUGUGACCCUGACAAGGAAAAGCAGAAGAGAACAGAUGGAUGGAUGGAUGGAUGGAUGGAUGGAUGGAUGGAUGGAUCCCAUCCGUGUGAGGGAUUCCACUGGAAUCCUGAAAGGAAGUAAAGCAUUUGUCGGUCUUGUUAGGGAGAAAAAGAUGUAGCCUGAAGGAGGAUUUUUAAACAAACCAUACAAUGCAAGAGCUAUAUCCACAUCCUCAGCACAGUCCACUAUGUUUUCAGUGGAUGGACAAGAGUCUUCAUUUCAUCUGACCAUGACCUUCACCACAAACUGGUGCGGUCUCUACCUGAGUAUGAAACCACCUGGACCAGCCUCCAACUCACUUGGCUCACAUCUCCAGUUCGCUGUGAACACUGCAGGCUGCAUAUCUGCUGACAGAUUUCCGUCC
ensembl:lncRNA